rnacentral:rRNA from 1 species
CAUGGCUGUCGUCAGCUCGUGUCGUGAGAUGUUGGUUAAGUCCGCAACGAGCGCAACCCUCGCCUUUAGUUGCCAGCAUUCAGUUGGGCACUCUAGAGGGACUGCCGGUGUCAAACCGGAGGAAGGUGGGGAUGACGUCAAGUCCUCAUGGCCUUUAUGUCUAGGGCUACACACGUACUACAAUGGCCGGUACAAAGGGCAGCCACUCAGCGAUGAGGCGCUAAUCCCAUAAAGCCGGUCUCAGUCCGGAUCGCAGUCUGCAACUCGACUGCGUGAAGUUGGAAUCGCUAGUAAUCGCGUAACAGCAUGACGCGGUGAAUACGUUCCCGGGCCUU